rnacentral:rRNA from 1 species
UACGUAGGGUGCAAGCGUUAAUCGGAAUUACUGGGCGUAAAGCGUGCGCAGGCGGUUAUGUAAGACAGAUGUGAAAUGCCCGGGCUUAACCUGGGAACUGCAUUUGUGACUGCAUGGCUAGAGUUUGGCAGAGGGGGGUAGAAUUCCACGUGUAGCAGUGAAAUGCGUAGAUAUGUGGAGGAGCACCGAUGGCGAAGGCAGCCCCCUGGGUCAAGACUGACGCUCAUGCACGAAAGCGUGGGGAUCAAACAGG